CCUCAGUAGCGGCGAGUGAGCGGCAAAGCUCAAUUUGAAAUCUGGCGUCUUUGGCGUCCGAGUUGUAAUUUGAAGAAGGUAUCUUUGGGCCCGGCUCUUGUCUAUGUUCCUUGGAACAGGACGUCACAGAGGGUGAGAAUCCCGUGCGAUGAGAUGGCCCGGGUCUAUGUAAAGUUCCUUCGACGAGUCGAGUUGUUUGGGAAUGCAGCUCUAAGUGGGUGGUAAAUUCCAUCUAAAGCUAAAUAUUGGCGAGAGACCGAUAGCGAACAAGUACAGUGAUGGAAAGAUGAAAAGAACUUUGAAAAGAGAGUGAAAAAGUACGUGAAAUUGUUGAAAGGGAAGGGCUUGAGAUCAGACUUGGUAUUUUGCAAGUUACUCUUUCGGGGGUGGCCUCUGCGGUUUACCGGGCCAGCAUCGGUUUGGAGCGGUAGGAUAAUGGCGGGGGAAUGUGGCACGACUUUGGUUGUGUGUUAUAGCCUCUGACGAUACUGCCAGCCUAGACCGAGGACUGCGGUUUUUACCUAGGAUGUUGGCAUAAUGAUCUUAAGUCGCCCGUCUAAAAACACCGCAGCACCAA
rnacentral:rRNA from 1 species